rnacentral:rRNA from 1 species
UGAGAGGUUGAUCGGCCACAUUGGGACUGAGACACGGCCCAGACUCCUACGGGAGGCAGCAGUGGGGGAUAUUGCACAAUGGGGGAAACCCUGAUGCAGCGACGCCGCGUGAAGGAAGAAGGCCUUCGGGUUGUAAACUUCUGUCGUACGGGACGAUAAUGACGGUACCGUACAAGAAAGCCACGGCUAACUACGUGCCAGCAGCCGCGGUAAAACGUAGGUGGCAAGCGUUGUCCGGAAUUACUGGGUGUAAAGGGAGCGCAGGCGGACUGGCAAGUUGGAAGUGAAAUCUAUGGGCUCAACCCAUAAAUUGCUUUCAAAACUGCCGGUCUUGAGUAGUGCAGAGGUAGGCGGAAUUCCCGGUGUAGCGGUGGAAUGCGUAGAUAUCGGGAGGAACACCAGUGGCGAAGGCGGCCUACUGGGCACCAACUGACGCUGAGGCUCGAAAGUAUGGGUAGCAAACAGGAUUAGAUACCCUGGUAGUCCAUACCGUAAACGAUGAUUACUAGGUGUUGGAGGAUUGACCC